GACGAACGCUGGCGGCGUGCCUAAUACAUGCAAGUAGAACGCACAGUUUAUACCGUAGCUCGCUACACCAUAGACUGUGAGUUGCGAAUGGGUGAGUAACGCGUAGGUAACCUGCCUGGUAGCGGGGGAUAACUAUUGGAAACGAUAGCUAAUACCGCAUAAUAUUGAUUAUUGCAUGAUAAUUGAUUGAAAGAUGCUAUUGCAUCACUACCAGAUGGACCUGCGUUGUAUUAGCUAGUAGGUGAGGUAACGGCUCACCUAGGCGACGAUACAUAGCCGACCUGAGAGGGUGAUCGGCCACACUGGGACUGAGACACGGCCCAGACUCCUACGGGAGGCAGCAGUAGGGAAUCUUCGGCAAUGGACGAAAGUCUGACCGAGCAACGCCGCGUGAGUGAAGAAGGUUUUCGGAUCGUAAAGCUCUGUUGUAAGAGAAGAACGGGUGUGAGAGUGGAAAGUUCACACUGUGACGGUAUCUUACCAGAAAGGGACGGCUAACUACGUG
rnacentral:rRNA from 1 species